AUAGAUUAUUUUGAAUCUGUUAUCUAGUAUUUAAAAAUUUUAAUUUUACUAUUCAAUCUUUCAAUUUAUUUCAUUUAUGUCAGUCGACGAUACUCUGACUUCAAAUUCUGAAUAAGUCGUUUAUCUUUAUAUGUUUAAUUAAUAUACUUUAUACAAUUUUUUAACUAUAAAUUUAUUAAAAUAAGUAAUUUAUUUAACUUUUAAAGUUAAAAUGUCGUUUGACUCAUUCAAAUCAAAUAAAUUAAAAUAUUGAAUAGUAAAUUAAAAUUUUGAAAGAUUGAAUAGCAUAUUCAAAAUUAUCUAUAAUUUCGAUACAUUCUAUAUGUUUUCAUCAUAAAAUUAUAACUUU
rnacentral:lncRNA from 1 species